rnacentral:lncRNA from 1 species
GGGAGGGCUCUCCAUAGGUGAUUUGUAUAUUGGAUUGUGUCCCCCGUAUGGUAGUUAUUUAUGGUAGUUACUCUUUGAUAUUAUUGCAUGCCAUUUUAUUUAUGGUUCUUGUGUUUAGAGAAUUAUUUAUGCGAUUUACGUUGGAGUUACUAAUGCUCUUUUGUUUUUGUUUUUGUUUUUCCUUUCCUUCCUUGAGCCGAGGGUCGAUUGAAAACAGCCUCUCUGUAUUUUCUGGAAGGGGUAAGGCCUGUCUACAUAUUACCCUCCCCAGACUCCACUUUGUGGGACUAUACUGGAUUGUUGUUGUUGUUGUUGUUGAAUUUAUGGUCCUUUUGGUUUGUUAAUAUUAAAUUUGUAGUAUUUUCAACCUUAACUAGAGAUCUCAAAGAGAUAUCAAAUUUAAACCCUUAUGAAUGGCUCAAUGUAGCGAUCACUUUAUGUUGCUUAAUUAAUAGGAAUUUUUACCUCCUAUAGCAAAGGUUAAC